rnacentral:rRNA from 1 species
AGGAAACCUGCCGUAUACUGGGGGAUAACACUUAGAAAUAGGUGCUAAUACCGCAUAAGCGCACAGCUUCGCAUGAAGCGGUGUGAAAAACUCUGGUGGUAUACGAUGGUUCCGCGUCUGAUUAGCUAGUUGGUGGGGUAAUGGCCUACCAAGGCAACGAUCAGUAGCCGGCCUGAGAGGGUGAACGGCCACAUUGGGACUGAGACACGGCCCAAACUCCUACGGAAGGCAGCAG